rnacentral:rRNA from 1 species
GAUGAACGCUGGCGGCGUGCCUAAUACAUGCCAGUCGAACGAACAGACGAGAAGCUUGCUCCUCUGACUUUAGCGGCGGACGUGUGAGUCACACGUGGAUAACCUACCUGUCAGACUAGGAUAACUUCGAGACACCAGCGCUAAUCCCGGAUAAUCUAUUGAACCACAUGGUUCAGUAGUGAAAGACGUUUUUGCUGUCACUUCUAGCUGGAUCCGAGCCGCAUUAGGUGGUUGGGAAGGUAAAGGCUUACCAAGGCGACGAGGCGUGGCCGAGCGGAGAGGGGGAUCGGCGACAUGGGAGCGGAGACACGGACCAUAGGACUAAGGGAGGCAGCAGUAGGGAAUGGGACGCAAUGGGCGAAAGUCUGACGGAGCAACGGCGCGCGAGUGAUGAAGGUCUUCGGAGCGUAAUACCCUGUUACGAGUGAAGAACAAAUUUGUAAGGAAAUAUGCACGUCGUGACGGUACCUAAUCAGAAAGCGCCGGCUAACUACGUG